ensembl:lncRNA
GGAAGUGCCAAAAUAAGCACCGGCGGCGGAGCGGCCGAGCACCUUUCCCACUGGCCACUGAGUCGCCGUCUGAGGAAGAAGUCGCAGGAGCUUAACGCCCGCAGAAUCAACAUGAAGCCCUCCGGUGUUCUCGUGCUCUCCCUGCUCGCAUCCCUCCAUGUCUUCACACCAGGUGUGAGGCUGCAGACGACACAACCAACAAGCCCACCAGGAACAACCGCAAACCAAACAACACCGACGCAGAACAAGACAGCGUCCACAGCAGCGACCUCUUCAUCCACCACCGCAGGACCAUCAGGCAAAACAUCAGCCACAACAGCAGAACCAACAACACCAACACAAUCACCUCCAGCAGAAAUCCAACUAGGUUCAACCACAACACAAAGAGAUGCAACACCGACGCAGAACAAGUCAGCAUCCACAGCAGCGCCCUCUUCAUCCACCGCCACAGCCCAUCAUGUCACCAGCCCGAUUCCUGAGAACGGAAAACCUGAGCAGAAAACCCAUCAACCUGGGAGGACCACGACUUCCUCCGCAGCAUCUUCAGGCGGCACGAACGGCACCAGCACAGCUGAAAACAAGACAGACAAUCAAACUUUGACACCAAACACUCCUCUCGAUUCUAACACAGAGAAACCCAGAGAAACUGCACCUGCAGCUACAGCAGAGAAUGGCCCAGACAAAAGGUGGUGGUGGAUUCUGCUGCCCAUCGGCCUCGUGGGAGCUGCUGCUAUCAUUGUCAAGUUCAAAAGCAAGAAGGUCCACGUUAACUCGGAAACCGUCGAUAUUGGAACUGAGAACGCAUCUUUCCAGAGCAGACCCGAAAGCGCCAAAGAUGGUGUCAUGCUCCUCGGGGUGAAGUCAUCGGGUGGAGAAGACAAUGCUUCUGCGAGAUAAAAAAAAGAAGGCCGGCAACAUCCAGAACGGCCAGCGGUUGAGUCACACCUGUCGCCCACGCACCAAAUGGCUCAAGGAACAGUUCAGAUGUUUGAUUUUGUGAAUAUAUUGUGAAGGAGAAAAGUCUGCAUGAUUCUGUGUUGAACGCAUUUCUGUUUUUGACUGUGAUAAUUGAUCUCAGAUUAAGUGAACUUUUAGUUUCAACUACGAUAUCCUCCUACAUACAGUUAAUCUUUGAGUUGAAAAUAUGAGAUAAAUACUUUAAUAAAUGAACCACUCCCUGUGGACGUGAGUGAAUGAACUGCGCAUCCUCGACUUCAGUGUUCUGUUGAUGAAGAGAAACCUAAAAACACGUGAGGGACUAUAAUGCUUGAUGUAAUGUAAUGCAUCACCGUCCCUUUUCAUGGUUUUGUUUGUGUUGUUUCAUCAUGUAUGUGCCUUCAACUGUAACGGCAAGAAUAGAUUUGUUGGGUUUUCUUUGUGUGCCAUUACAGACGGCAGUUGAACUGAGGUUCUGAGCUUCAGAGGUGUGCUGCUUUUUACUUUUCAUGUGUUUCAGUGAAGUGUUUCGCAUUACGUUGUUAAAUAUUCCACCAUGCUUCUCCACUGGCAAAGUAUUUUAAACCCCCACCGUUUUCCUUGUAUGUCAGUGGUAUAAAUUCACCAUCAUUUUUUGUGUGUAACAAUUGAAGCACAAGAAACUAUUUUCAGUUGUAUUUAAAGACACCGUAACUGCUUCAUGGCUGGACUUUGUUGUUUUACACCUCAACAUCCUCAAUAAAUCACUAAAACAGUUCA